rnacentral:rRNA from 1 species
AAAUUGAAGAGUUUGAUCAUGGCUCAGAUUGAACGCUGGCGGCAGGCCUAACACAUGCAAGUCGAACGGUAACAGGAAGCAGCUUGCUGCUUCGCUGACGAGUGGCGGACGGGUGAGUAAUGUCUGGGAAACUGCCUGAUGGAGGGGGAUAACUACUGGAAACGGUAGCUAAUACCGCAUAAUGUCGCAAGACCAAAGAGGGGGACCUUCGGGCCUCUUGCCAUCGGAUGUGCCCAGAUGGGAUUA